rnacentral:misc_RNA from 1 species
GCAGCGAACAAGAGUGCAUUCAAGUAUGCGAUUGACAGAUGCUCAAAUCUACGAUAUAUUGUAUUUGGAAGAGAUGAAUCGUGUUUGAUAUUUUCAUAUUUUUCUAUGAAGGAUAACUUUUUGUUCCCAUUAUCCUUCACGUAUCACGUGAAAAUUAAAUAUCGAUAUUUGGACGCUUAUAUCGGUUAGAUGACGGCGAUACGCCGUGUGUUAACAGGUCAUGGGGGCCUGUUUCGGCCGCUGUAUUUCCAAAGUUACAGACUCCUUGUCAUACAGGUUUUAUCAAAGACAUACCAGUAUGUCCUACCAAGGAGACGAACAAGUUGAGUUUAUAGAUGACAAAGGAGGUACAGAUCAAUCUAGAGGAUCAAAAACCCUGUUAUCAUUUCUCUCCUUAAACCGAUUUAAGAAAAAAAAUGGAAUCCCUGUAACAUUGGAAUUAUUAGAAGAUGGAGCAUGGUCAAAGGGUAAAACUAAUAAAUAUGCCAGAUUAAACUCUAAGAAUGAUGCUUCUACAAGUUCUGGAUUGGAUACACCAUUACAAAUUCUUGAUGCAAGAACAUUAAUGAAACAACAAGCAUGUGUUUCUUCUACUCCUGGUUCAUCAUUAGAUCUGGAAUGGGAACAUGAAGGAAUGCCUCUACCAAUUAUGGAUGAUGAAAAAGUUGAAAGUACAGAUGGUUCUAUGACACAAACAUCAGUCAAUAAUAGUCAACCCUCUAGCUUGACAGCAUCUCCUUGGUCUAGAGUAUCAACACCAAAUAGUUUAGAAUGGGAUCCGGUAGAAGCGGAUAUGAAAAAACUAGAAUGGAAAAGAAAUGGAUAACCAAGGAAAACGUGAUUAUCGUGCAAGCAAAAAAUGGAUAAGUCGAGUUUUAGUUUAAAAGAGGACAAGCGGAUUUUUGGUUACAUAAUCCUGAAUCACCAUUAUCGUGUCACCCUCGUCGUAACGCAGCUGAAAUGACCAUCACAAUAUCGAACAGCAGUAACAGAUAAUAUACAUUAUGUAUAUUAACUUUACCAAUAGAUCUCCGAUUUUUAUUUUAUUUUCAUCUUCACUUGAUCGUAAUUCUUGCACGCCGCUAUCUAUGUUUGGCUGCCGGAAGUGGCCUUACUCUAUCAUACUUUCCGUUCUUCUAAUAUCUACGGAUCUUUGUAAAUCCAACGUGACUUUCCAUUGCGUGACAAUGGGAGCUUUUCGUCGCGGUAUCCGCCCAUCUUCUCUUUCACUUUUCAUCGAUCCCUAAAGAGAGGAGGGCUGGCCACGAUCGAAGAAAAUGGGGACACGACGAAAAGCGCGGGAACGCUUUAACGAAUGAAGAAGGAGUCGGGGAGGCAUUCAGAACUAAAUACAUAACUAGCACAGGAAGCAAUUAAUUUAAAAAGCAAUGAGAAAACAUUGAUAAAAUCGCUUUUGCAUCAAGAGAGAUGGCUGAGAUUCUUAAAAAACAGCGAAUCUUAAAAAAAAGAAAAGUCGAUAUACUAUAAAACGAAAGUUACAUUGCAAGAAACCGACUGAUUAAAAUUAAUUAAAUAUCUAUACUUUGAUCAGAGCUAUAAUUAUGUAAUGAGGGAUAAGUGGUCUUCGUGUGAAGAGGCCGCAAGAAUCAUAAAGGAAUUAUAGUUUGGCACUGAUACCCGUCAGCUUGAACUUAAUACGUUCGCAGAGCUGGAGAGAACCAGCAUUGGGAAGUCACGUAUUCCUAUUCGAUCCUAUUGCUGAUGGACUUUAUGGCACAUCGAAUAUCUUUCUUAAAACGCUUUGAUUCCGUUUCGAAACUAUGGCGUCUCUUGCCUUAUGUAUCUAGCAUACCUUCAAUGAAAAGAAAAGAAAAAAAAAACAAAAACUACAACAUAACUACGAAACAACACUAACAAUUGUCCAUCAUUCGACUGAUUCGAAAUAUAUCUUUUCAGAGACUACAAAAACUCCACUUCCGGCACCAGGUACAAGCAGCGUGUGGCUGUGGCCCAGACUUACGUCGGAUAGUAGCAAGAACACACAUUAAAAUCAUAGAAGAUCAACGCUAUUAGACGUGUUAUGCAAGUAGCUAUCCGCUUUAUUUUCCCUUUAAUUUUCUACAAACCAUUUCACUUGGUUCAAAGAAUAAAUCAGAUCUGCGGAUGCUCUAAUUGGCAUUUCCAUUCUUUUUCUAGUUUAUCAUUUCUCGUCUCGUUUCUUUUGUCUGGUUCACCGAAUACCCAAUACACAAUAUGAAUACAUAUACACGCGGAUUGGUCGAGCGUUUUCCUUUUCUUGGUCUCUCCUCGAGGUAUCCUUAUUUUGUGUUAUUUUAAAAUGCCUUCCUCUCUUAUCGAGAUUUACGCAUCACACGUCCAAAAGGAGCACACAUGUCAUGGUUUAUCAAUGUAAUAUAUAGUAUGCGUUAUAGAUUCUUCAUUCGCGAACGAGGCCCACGAAGCCUCCGCGAGAUUCCUCUCUGUCUCGUCGAGCGUGCCAUUUUGCCAUCGAUCCCUCUCAUCAUUCUCAUCUCUCUGAAUAAAUACUGGAAAGAUGUAGAACUGUCCAAUGGAUAUCGUACGAGCGAAACGAUCGUCGUCCAUAACGAUAGUUGACGAUCGAUUAUGUAUUAUAGAAUCGGCGAACGAGAUUUUAAAAUACCACCCGGGUAGAUUGGUCGGGAUGUGAAGUUAAAACUCUUGGAAGAUGUUCAGUAAGUAAUUAUAGAUCGAGGUUAAAAUUCUUAGAUUCGAAUAUAAUAUAUAUGCGAAUUCUUUUAGGAUGAAAUUGAACGACUUGUUAGUUUAAAGAGAAUUCUCGAAUGUUUAGAACAUUGAUAGAGAUUCUCUCGGGAAAGGUAAGUUCAUUACGAAUUGAUGGGAGGUAAGAGGGAAGAUUGUUAGGCUGUAUUCCUUGGAAACCUUGGUCCAUGAUCGGCACCAGCUAAUUCUUAGUUGGAAUGAUGAUAUUUCAUUACAUCUUAUUUCUUACUCAUGACUAUAAUACAGGAUCAUCUGAUCCUGAUCUAAAAUAAUUCAAUUAUCUAAACUUAAUUAUUCUUCUUGACUAGGAUUAUUCUAUGAUGGCAUAUUCCCUCGAAAAUCAUUUGAAAUUUCACCAAUGGAAUCAGCUGGUCCAGGAUCAAAAGCUAUCGACAAUUUUUGCUGGAAUACAGGGACGAAUAUAGAACUAUUCGCAUCAUAAAAAAACGAUUUGGAUACGAUGGAUCUCCGAUAAACUCGUUUAAAUUCAUUCCAAAA